UAACCACUGUUAAAACCAAAUACUGAAUUUGUGAUUGCUAGUAACUGGCAAUCUUAACCAAAGAUAACUCUCAACAACGGAUAUCUUGGCUCUCGCAACGAUGAAGAACGCAGCGAAAUGCGAUACGUAGUGUGAAUUGCAGAAUUCCGUGAACCAUCGAAUCUUUGAACGCAUAUUGCGCUCGAGCCUCCGGGCAAGAGCAUGUCUGCCUCAGCGUCGGUUUACACCCUCACCCCUCCCACUUUGUUGGGUUGCUUGGCAACUUUGCCAGCAUAGGUGGUGGAUCUGGCUUCCCCAAUCUGCCGUCUGGUAGAUUGGGUUGGCUGAAGAGUAGAGGUUUAAGCAAGGACCCGUUAUGGGCUUCAACUGGAUAGGUAGCACCGGCUUGUGCCGACUACACGAAGUUGAUGCUCGUGGAUCUUGCUAGAGGCCAAGCAGGAACGUGCCCAUGGCACGUCUAAACUUUCGACCUGAGCUCAGGCAAGGCUACCCGCUGAACUUAAGCAUAUCAAUAAGCGGAGGAAAUG
rnacentral:rRNA from 1 species